rnacentral:rRNA from 1 species
GGCGCAAGCCUGAUGCAGCGACGCCGCGUGAGGGAUGAAGGCCUUCGGGUUGUAAACCUCUUUCAGUAGGGAAGAAGCGAAAGUGACGGUACCUGCAGAAGAAGCGCCGGCUAACUACGUGCCAGCAGCCGCGGUAAUACGUAGGGCGCAAGCGUUAUCCGGAAUUAUUGGGCGUAAAGAGCUCGUAGGCGGUUUGUCGCGUCUGCCGUGAAAGUCCGGGGCUUAACCCCGGAUCUGCGGUGGGUACGGGCAGACUUGAGUGAUGUAGGGGAGACUGGAAUUCCUGGUGUAGCGGUGAAAUGCGCAGAUAUCAGGAGGAACACCGAUGGCGAAGGCAGGUCUCUGGGCAUUAACUGACGCUGAGGAGCGAAAGCAUGGGGAGCGAACAGGAUUAGAUACCCUGGUAGUCCAUGCCGUAAACGUUGGGCACUAGGUGUGGGGGACAUUCCACGUUUUCCGCGCCGUAGCUAACGCAUUAAGUGCCCCGCCUGGGGAGUACGGCCGCAAGGCUAAAACUCAAA